rnacentral:rRNA from 1 species
UACGUAGGGGGCUAGCGUUGUCCGGAAUCAUUGGGCGUAAAGCGCGCGUAGGCGGUCAGGAAAGUCCGGUGUGAAAGUCAUAGGCUCAACCUAUGGAUGCCGCUGGAAACUGCCUGACUUGAGUCCGGAAGGGGCGAGUGGAAUUCCCUGGUGUAGCGGUGAAAUGCGCAGAUUAGUCAAGGAAGGAACCACCAGUGGACGGCGAAGGCAGACUGCC